UAUCUCUGUAGAGUCUGCAUAUCAAUAAGCGGAGGAAAAGAAACUAACAAGGAUUCCCCUAGUAACGGCGAGUGAAGCGGGAAGAGCUCAAAUUUGAAAUCUUCAAGGUUUGACCUUGACGAAUUGUAGUUUAAAGAAGUGUUUUCGGUUAGAGGAGUAGUAAAAGUUCUUUGGAAUAGGACAUCAUAGAGGGUGAGAAUCCCGUAUUUGACCGUUACUUUCCUAGCUUUGUGAUACAGCUUUCAAAGAGUCGGAUUGUUUGGGAAUGCAGUCCAAAAUGGGUGGUAAAUUUCAUCUAAAGCUAAAUAUUGGCGAGAGACCGAUAGCGAACAAGUACCGUGAGGGAAAGAUGAAAAGAACUUUGAAAAGAGAGUUAAACAGUACGUGAAAUUGUCAAAAGGGAAGCGUUUGACACCAGUGUUGUUUUUCCGAAAAUCAAUUAAAAAUUGAUUCAUGCCAGGUUGUAUUGACCUUAUCAGCUUGCAAUUUGGUUUUGGGUCUCUUUUUGAUGCACUUUUCGGUUAACAAGGUCAACAUCAAUUUCCUUUGCUGUAAAAAGGUAAGAGGAAGGUGGCCUCAAUUUCGGUUGAAGUGUUUAUAGCCUUUUAUCUCUGCAGUCGGGGAGAUUGAGGUCUGCAGCGUAGAUCCUUCGGGGCUAGAUACAUUUAUGCUAAGUUAUAGCUUUUCAUAGACAACUUGUUGACUAUGUUUAGUCAUGUAGCUUACUCGUAAGUGCUAUUUUACCUACGCUUAGGAUGUUGAGCGCAUGUCUCUCUCU
rnacentral:rRNA from 1 species